rnacentral:rRNA from 1 species
CUCCUACGGGAGGCAGGCAGUGGGGAAUAGUUGGACAAUGGGGGCAACCCGUGAUCCAGCAAUGCCGCGUGUGUGAAGAAGGCCUUCGGGUUGUUAAAGGCAACUUUUUAUCCGGUAACGAAACGCGACCAGGCAAAUACCUUAGGCGAACUGACGGUACCGGAGGAAUAAGCACCGGCUAACUUCGUGCCAGCAGCCGCGGUAAUAC